CAUUUGGCUUAGCUGUCACCAGUCUUAUUAGCUGGUGACUGGAACUUGAUUUGAUACCUGAUCUCAGGGGCCAGGGGUGCAGAGGUGACGGUAUUCAUGGGACCCAUGGAAACUGGAGCUGGAACAGACAUCAGCUUGUCCAGCCUCAACGUUUUGCAGCAAAAACUGAGACCCAGAGGAAUAAAAGCAGUUACUUAAGGUCACAGAGUAAGGAUUUGAACCCAGGUCCUAUGACUUGAAAUAAAGUAUGUUUCUACUAUA